ensembl:lncRNA
AUCUUGCUGGAAAUCCCUGUCUACCAGAGGUGUUCUGAAGUUUCCAUGGAAACAAAUAGAAGGCAUAACUUUUGGAGCAACCUACCUACUUGGUGACUGAAACCUUUGCAGAGUAUUUCAAUUUGAAAUCUGCAGAAUAAUAGGAAGUUUUGUUUUUUUUUUUUCCUCCACUGUAUCUACUCAAUGAGAAGAGGAUAAAAAAUUCCCAAUGUAGAAGCUUUAAAUGGACUUUUGAAUAUGUCUUCAUCAUAUCAUCCAUUUAGUGGACACCUGAUGAGGAUAUAUGGACACUAGACAGUACUCUGUAAGUUGAAACUACAAAAUGCUUUCCACAGCACUUACAGGAUAUUUCUUUGGACCUCAUAUACAGCUAUUUUGUUGGAUUCUAAAGCCAUUGAGUUCACAUCUAAUGUCUAAAAACAUGCUUUGAAUAUAUACAAAACAUUAUACAACUACUUUUCCUUCACCUAAAAUUACUGUGUUUUCUAAUGUUUCUGGUAUCAUCUAUUGCGGUAUCUUGAAAAAUUUUUAGAAAUUUUUCUAUCUAUGAGCAUUUAUCUAACACCUUUUUUCCUCCUACUGACAUAUCAACCAGUCCCUUUACAGAGUUUCAAAUCAAUUUUGAACUUUGUCAUUCUAAUCAGUACAGAGAGCCUUAUGACAACAGUGUUCUGUCAUGGUUUUAUGAUUUUUGGUUAUUGGUACAUCAUAACAUCAUGUAGUUCCAACCUGUUCCUUGUAGAGAAUAAGGUCUGCAAUAGCCAGAAGCAAAGCUAGCAUCUUACCCCAAACAAAAGUGAUAAAGACAUGCACUUCUUGUGCAUGCACCUGUUUCCUCCACUUUUAUGCUAUGUAUUGCAGUACUGUUGGACCAUGCAGUAAAUAGCGUGAGAAUCUUUAAAACACAUUUGAAAGUUUAUUUUUCCUAUAUAAUCAACUAUCCAGUCUAAUCGACAUAGUUUUGUAGAUUCUAGCAAGCUGUAGAUGUGGAGUGUUACUUAGCACCACAGAAACCAUAUCUGAGGAUGAUGUAAUUACUUCAUGUAUAAAGAACUGGAGAAAGUACACAAAUAAAAAAAUAUAUACUUAGUGCAUGCCAUGACCAGCUUACUGAGGCUUUAAAUGAAUACAAAUAUUUAUACAAUUGCAUUUGACAAUUCACAAUAUCUGAUUAUGUGGCAGGAUGCUCUGACAAAGGAUUUGAUUAUAUGGUAGGCUGAGCUGUGGCUAGUAAAUAAUAACCUUCUACAUUCAUGUUUCUAUUUCUUAUUGUUAGAAAAAUAGCACAAAUUAGUAAUCGCCAUAAGCAAAUCAAUUAUUGAGGCCAGACAGCAUGUAUCAUUUGGAAAAGGUAGUGAAGAUAAGCUAUUUUACUCAUCCUGCAUCAAAAAAUUUAAGUGGUGGCAAGUUGAUCCUCAUAUAUAAGCCACAAAUGGGCCAAAGUGAAUAUCACAGAACAAAUUGCUGUAUAUUUUUUUUUUGAAAAAUACUACACAUCUGAAGCAAGAACGUACUUGCUGACAGAUAAAUUGUUCCAAGUGAUUUGAAUGACUUAGCUGCCUGGGACAAGUUUGUUCUAGUAGCUGCAUUUAUUCUGUAUCUGCACUCUUAACUACCUGGAUGUAGUUCAGCUCCUUUCAGAAGACAUAUUCCCUGUGUUGCAAGACAUCCUAAGUUGCAGCUUCGUGCAUUGUUGUGAGCUGCUAUAAUGCAAAUAUGUUACUUGAUUCCUAGCAGAACAUCCACAUAAGUGAAUUCUUUGAACAAAUUCACGUAAAAAAGAUUUGAGACUCAAAUCUCAUGCUAAUAUUUGAGAUCUCCAAUCUCAAGAAAUAUCAGAAUCUAUGAUUGAUUUGGAAGUGGAAGUUGAGAAUCAGUCACUAAUGUUCUGCAAAAUUUGUCUGAAGCUGCAAGGACUUCAGUACUCAUUUGUGACAGAGAAACCACAGCAAAUCUAUCCUUACUGAUUGCUGCUAUUUGUUGCCCAGUCUUGUCGUGUUAUGUUUAUUUUUUUAAACUAUGUUCCAGCUUGACAUGGCAUGUUGAUAAACAACGCAGAGUCCAUUUGCUCACUCCUCCAGAGCAGGGUGAGGGAGAAGACUAGAAAGAAAUCAAAGCUUGUGAGUUGAGAUAAAAACUAUUUACUAAGACAGAAAAGGAAAAAAAAGGUUGUGAUAACUAUAUACAUUUAUAUGCACAAUGCAGUUGUUCACUACCUGCCAAUUGAUGCAGCCAACUGCUGGCAAACUGAUGUCCUUGCUACUAACACAACAUCCUGUCAAAUGACACUCAGCUCAUCCCCAAGCAGAGACCACACCCCAGCUAACUUCUCACAUCUUGAUGGCCCUCUACAUGCCAUCACUUGGCCUGGAAUUACUUCUGGUCUAUUUCCUGUCCUGGUUAACUUACAAAUCAAUAUUUUUAGAAUUUACAAUAGCAAAAAUAAAUAAAAUCAGACCUUCUAAGUGUUUUCUUAAACAAAAAACUCUAAUAGUUUCUAUAAGAAUAACAUAGGAGUUUUAGAACUCUCAUGCCAUCUGGGUUGCUUGACCCUUUCUCCUCUGCUGAUGGCCCAGGACACCAUUUAAUCUCAGGUUAGGGUGCACAGUUGCACAUCAUAAACCCACCUAGAGAUGUGGCUGGGGAUGAAGAGACACUAGGUUCAUAGCAUCAAGCUGCAACCUUCUGCUUUAGCAAGCACUCACAAACAGUCCUCACAGCAUGGUUGGAAUAUACUGAAUGCUAAACCUCCAGCAAUAGCAAAUGGAGCCAAAUCCUCCAGCAGUAUAGAAAAGAUGUUGGACAAGUGAAAGCUUCCUGUGACAGUGUCUUAGCAUGCUUUGCUUCAUAAUUCCUCUACUUAUUCAUCAGAAAGCAACUGCUGUACCCUAUUUAUACCUAUUUGUAAUUACACAGCAAAGAUUCCAGUCAGGUAUUAGUAUGUGUACCAGUAGAUUAUUCUUUUUUUUUUUUUUUUCUCCAAGAUAAUCUCCCUUUGGUUUUAUUUAUUCUUGUGGGGGAUCCCCCCACCCCCCAACCAUAGACAAUUUUACUUUAUCUAUAUACAUAAUUAUACAACAAUGAAGUUGCUGGAUUGGCAUUUAAUUUGACUACAUUUUUGAAGGAAAAAAAUGUGUUUAAAAUGUAUUAAAGUAUUUCCAUUCUGGAAAUCUGAAUUUCAUAGUGAAACAAAAACUUUGAGCAAAGCUAGCAUGGAUUUUGACUAUAGUUGUUGACUCUUCUAUAUUGAAUAACAAUAGG